UGCAUUCACUACUGUAAGUCGCUCUGGAUAAGAGUGUCUGCUAAAUGACUAUAA
rfam:Salmo salar isolate Sally breed double haploid chromosome ssa24, whole genome shotgun sequence.